rnacentral:rRNA from 1 species
UACGAAGGGUGCAAGCGUUACUCGGAAUUACUGGGCGUAAAGCGUGCGUAGGCGGUUUGUUAAGUCUGUCGUGAAAGCCCUGGGCUCAACCUGGGAAUUGCGAUGGAUACUGGCAAGCUAGAGUACGGUAGAGGAUGGUGGAAUUCCCGGUGUAGCGGUGAAAUGCGUAGAGAUCGGGAGGAACACCAGUGGCGAAGGCGGUGGCCUGGACCGAUGCUGACGCUGAGGCGCGAAAGCGUGGGGAGCGAUCCGG